rnacentral:lncRNA from 1 species
UUCCUCCUCCACAUCUCUUUCUCCUUGUGACAUGGGUUCUAGAGAAGAAAAGAGAUAGAGGAUCUCUUCUUCUCCCUCUUCCUCCUCUUGUUCUCCAUCAUCUUUGAGAGGGUCUGAGAGAAAAUGAUGAUGAAGUUCUUCAUCAACUAUCAGGAGACAACUUCUGCAAGGGAGCUAGCAUCCUGAUGAAGUUAUGAGCCUUUGAUCGGAUCCAAGGAGCUUGUGUGGAUACUCAUAGAGGCCAGACAUGUGUACAGCUAAUCGAGGGACCUCGGAGUAUACCACGAUCAUCAAUUUGUGGUGAAGAUCAACCCACACAAAGGUAUGAAGAUUAGAUCUUCUUUCCUUAUGUCUUAAAUUUCAAAUUUUGAUUUUCUUAAUCCUAUCCAUCGUAUGAAGAUCCUAUUGCCUGA